UUAAAAAACGUUUAUUCCAGUUUCAAAAUUCCGGCUCAAGAAGACUUUGUAGAGGAAGCUUUUCCUACCUGCCAGAAAUGAAUGCCCUUCUUCUGCCCCCGAAGUCUGACAUUCUGCCAGAACAGAAGCGUCGAGGGAACAGGUCCUAGUCUGUAACCCUGCAACCCCACAGACUAGUGCAAGGGGCCAAUAAUGCAGUUUUCUCCGAGAAAGAUGCAGUUGCCUACCUCUCCCUCCCUUGGUGAGGUGUUACCUGGAGAAUUUAAUAAACCCAACAAAAGGCAUCAUCCCUACUGCAAUGCCAAUGUGGAGGCCUUCUGACCCUGGGAGCCGCAAACAUUGAAACAUUACCUGGGGAAGUAACUCAAGGGAAGUUUCUUGCUCACCAGAAAUACAAGGGUCAGUCACAAGGUGUAGCCUCUUGUUCUUGAGAAAGAAGUUUUCAUUGUUCUCUUUGCUUCUCUCUAUGCAUUUGUGUGAAAUCCUGUCCAGACUUGGAAGUCACUUCUCCCUGACAUACUUCCAAGCAUGAACCAGUGCUACAGCGGACCAGAGAGGGGAGGGAGCCCCAUGAAUCUGGUCAACUGGACCGUGCUUUCCAGAGAAAGGGAAGCGGAGACCUGGGGCCUGGGACUUGGUAAACCUGAAAGAAUAUGAAGAAUCUAGAAGUUCCAGCGAGCCAUACAAUCCAGAAUUUUGUCUUUGACAGUGGACCUGAAGAGCACCCUUUUUGGGAGAGUUAACUCAUCUCCUGGUCUUCUAGACCCAUCUACCCCAUAAUAACCCAUAAUGAAAUGUUUGUUUAGUCGAUUAAUAAGUAUACCCCUCAUGUGAAAAUGGAUGCUUUUCAAUAGUACUAAUAAAUAAUUUUCAUACCUCUUUGGAAUAUAAA